UACGUAGGUCCCGAGCGUUGUCCGGAUUUAUUGGGCGUAAAGUGAGCGCAGGUGGUUUAUUAAGUCUGGUGUAAAAGGCAGUGGCUCAACCAUUGUAUGCAUUGGAAACUGGUAGACUUGAGUGCAGGAGAGGAGAGUGGAAUUCCAUGUGUAGCGGUGAAAUGCGUAGAUAUAUGGAGGAGCACCGGUGGCGAAAGCGGCUCUCUGGCCUGUAACUGACACUGAGGCUCGAAAGCGUGGGGAGCAAACAGG
rnacentral:rRNA from 1 species